UUGCCUACGGGAGGCAGCAGUAGGGAAUUUUCGUCAAUGGGCGCAAGCCUGAACGAGCGAUGCCGCGUGAGUGAAGAAGGCCUUCGGGUCGUAAAGCUCUGUUGCGGGGGAAAAAAGGCAGCAUCAGGAAAUGGGUGCUGACUGAUGGUGCCCCUCCAGAAAGUCACGGCUAACUACGUGCCAGCAGCCGCGGUAAUACAUAGGUGGCGAGCGUUAUCCGGAAUGAUUGGGCGUAAAGGGUGCGCAGGCGGGCCUGCACGUCUGGAGUGAAACUC
rnacentral:rRNA from 1 species